UAGGGAAUCUUCCACAAUGGACGCAAGUCUGAUGGAGCAACGCCGCGUGAGNGAAGAAGGUCUUCGGAUCGUAAAACUCUGUUGUUAGAGAAGAACACGAGUGAGAGUAACUGUUCAUUCGAUGACGGUAUCUAACCAGCAAGUCACGGCUAACUACGUGCCAG
rnacentral:rRNA from 1 species